GACGUGGCCAAGCUAUCAAAAAACUGCAGCCUGUGGAGAAGUAGCAAGUAGGAGGGAGGUCAGGAGUGGGUGGCUAAAACCACCACAAGAUUUGAGAACGCAGAUGUAUUUAACUGGAAGGAGAAAAGGAAAGCACAGAGGUACCUGUCUGUUGUCUGAUUUGUGGGUAAGAAAAGUCCAUCAUGUGGAAACUGGACAGAGGCCUUAAGCAGAGAAGGAUCUUAAGAAGAACUGCAACAGUGACCUGGCUGGGUCUUUAAGGGGGAAAUCACCCUAUCCAAUGGGUACAAUACAUUCCGGUGAUUAAAAAUACAUUCCAUUUCCUCUACGUGCAAAUUCAAUCUGUCGAACUGGAUGACAGCACCAUAAAGCCGCUGAAAUUCUGAAACCCAACCUGCUAAACAUCCUGAACAGACAUUCUCCAAAGAAAACUGAAGAAAAAUGUAUGUAUCCUUUUGAGAUGUGGAAACAUCUUAAAAUUACUUAAGAACGAUUUCAAAAUAACCCCCUAAUAAACUGCUUAAUGUGAACAGCAUUUCAAAUUCUCAGCCUAGUUUUAAAUUUCCACCUUUGUUGUAAAUGGAACCCAAAUAAGAAUUUCCUUGUGCUCUUAAGAAUACUAUAGGGUUUAAGAUCUACUGCAAGAUCCCUCUAGCAGACAUUGGCAUAAACCCUUGAAAACUGUGGGUUGUAUCUUUAAAAGGUGUCAAAGGAAAAGCAGAUGAAAUGCUGUAAUCUCCACCCACUGUCACUUAAGACUUACUGCCCACGCACUCCACAGUCCCAGCCAGCAUCCUGCAUCCACCCUUUUUUUUCAAGCCCACUGCAUUAGACCAUGGAAACUCAGGAUGUGUGGCCACAACGGCCCCUGCUCUGGAUCCAGCUGGCCCACCACGUGGCGUGGCCGUGACCUUAGUCACACUUCCCCCUGACAUCCUGUGAGUGGGCUCAAGCUGGAGCCAGACCUUCCCACCGUGCUGCCCGCCCUGCUCCUGGAAAUGACAAAACCCGGCUCCCUAAAACAUUCCAUUCUCCACUUACACCAACAGAGCUUCCUGCUCCCCACCCCUCCUGAACAACAGGUCUUUGAAUAUCAUUCACCACCCUGGUAACACCUUUAACCAUUUGGCCAUUAGCUACUAAGGGAGGCAUGCACAACUUCACUUCGGAUUUUCAUAGAAGCCUGUUCUCUUGAUUUUCACUAAGUUUUUUAAACUAUUAUCACAAGAAUCACUUCUACGGGAUUUAUAAGCAUAUGCAACAUUCAAAAUCGAAAACGUGGCACUGCAAAAUCUGCACAACAAAGCUCUUCAUGAGAGAAGUAUCUCUUAAUUUAGUGGAGAGAGUAUCUGCUGGAUUCAGAUUUACAUAAGCAUUAUCUUCUUGGUCCUCUUCUAAGCUGGACUAAAAGGAUUUCAGAAAUCUUCGACUUACUAUGUAUAACUCUCAUCUUUGAAAAAGAACUUGCAUUUUAAUAAAAAGGUUAAUGAGAAAAAAAUACUCCCAAUUUAGUUUUAGCUGUAGAGUCAAGAAGCAAGUUUUUGUUUCAUCAGAUGGUAAAGGUAAUGCUUUUAACUGGCAGCACUAACCCCACCUUCCUCCUAAGAGGUGUCUGUGGAUCCUAAGGAUGGUUUUUCAAGCAAAGAGGUAAAGUUGGGUAGAGUGACACUAAGGGGGCAAUUAAGGCACCCAUUGUUUAGAGUCAUACUAUUCUCCAUAUUCAAAAUCAAACAGAGGUUCCAGUUCUACGUAGGAUAGAUAGUCAGCACACUCCACCCUGUUU
rnacentral:lncRNA from 1 species